rnacentral:rRNA from 1 species
GGGUUGUGAGGUUAAGCGACUAAGCGUACACGGUGGAUGCCCUGGCAGUCAGAGGCGAUGAAGGACGUGCUAAUCUGCGAUAAGCGUCGGUAAGGUGAUAUGAACCGUUAUAACCGGCGAUUUCCGAAUGGGGAAACCCAGUGUGAUUCGUCACACUAUCAUUAACUGAAUCCAUAGGUUAAUGAGGCGAACCGGGGGAACUGAAACAUCUAAGUACCCCGAGGAAAAGAAAUCAACCGAGAUUCCCCCAGUAGCGGCGAGCGAACGGGGAGCAGCCCAGAGCCUGAAUCAGUGUGUGUGUUAGUGGAAGCGUCUGGAAAGGCGUGCGAUACAGGGUGACAGCCCCGUACACAAAAAUGCACAUAUUGUGAGCUCGAUGAGUAGGGCGGGACACGUGGUAUCCUGUCUGAAUAUGGGGGGACCAUCCUCCAAGGCUAAAUACUCCUGACUGACCGAUAGUGAACCAGUACCGUGAGGGAAAGGCGAAAAGAACCCCGGCGAGGGGAGUGAAAAAGAACCUGAAACCGUGUACGUACAAGCAGUGGGAGCACGCUUAGGCGUGUGACUGCGUACCUUUUGUAUAAUGGGUCAGCGACUUAUAUUCUGUAGCAAGGUUAACCGAAUAGGGGAGCCGAAGGGAAACCGAGUCUUAACUGGGCGUUAAGUUGCAGGGUAUAGACCCGAAACCCGGUGAUCUAGCCAUGGGCAGGUUGAAGGUUGGGUAACACUAACUGGAGGACCGAACCGACUAAUGUUGAAAAAUUAGCGGAUGACUUGUGGCUGGGGGUGAAAGGCCAAUCAAACCGGGAGAUAGCUGGUUCUCCCCGAAAGCUAUUUAGGUAGCGCCUCGUGAAUUCAUCUCCGGGGGUAGAGCACUGUUUCGGCAAGGGGGUCAUCCCGACUUACCAACCCGAUGCAAACUGCGAAUACCGGAGAAUGUUAUCACGGGAGACACACGGCGGGUGCUAACGUCCGUCGUGAAGAGGGAAACAACCCAGACCGCCAGCUAAGGUCCCAAAGUCAUGGUUAAGUGGGAAACGAUGUGGGAAGGCCCAGACAGCCAGGAUGUUGGCUUAGAAGCAGCCAUCAUUUAAAGAAAGCGUAAUAGCUCACUGGUCGAGUCGGCCUGCGCGGAAGAUGUAACGGGGCUAAACCAUGCACCGAAGCUGCGGCAGCGACGCUUAUGCGUUGUUGGGUAGGGGAGCGUUCUGUAAGCCUGUGAAGGUGUGCUGUGAGGCAUGCUGGAGGUAUCAGAAGUGCGAAUGCUGACAUAAGUAACGAUAAAGCGGGUGAAAAGCCCGCUCGCCGGAAGACCAAGGGUUCCUGUCCAACGUUAAUCGGGGCAGGGUGAGUCGACCCCUAAGGCGAGGCCGAAAGGCGUAGUCGAUGGGAAACAGGUUAAUAUUCCUGUACUUGGUGUUACUGCGAAGGGGGGACGGAGAAGGCUAUGUUGGCCGGGCGACGGUUGUCCCGGUUUAAGCGUGUAGGCUGGUUUUCCAGGCAAAUCCGGAAAAUCAAGGCUGAGGCGUGAUGACGAGGCACUACGGUGCUGAAGCAACAAAUGCCCUGCUUCCAGGAAAAGCCUCUAAGCAUCAGGUAACAUCAAAUCGUACCCCAAACCGACACAGGUGGUCAGGUAGAGAAUACCAAGGCGCUUGAGAGAACUCGGGUGAAGGAACUAGGCAAAAUGGUGCCGUAACUUCGGGAGAAGGCACGCUGAUAUGUAGGUGAAGUCCCUCGCGGAUGGAGCUGAAAUCAGUCGAAGAUACCAGCUGGCUGCAACUGUUUAUUAAAAACACAGCACUGUGCAAACACGAAAGUGGACGUAUACGGUGUGACGCCUGCCCGGUGCCGGAAGGUUAAUUGAUGGGGUCAGCGCAAGCGAAGCUCUUGAUCGAAGCCCCGGUAAACGGCGGCCGUAACUAUAACGGUCCUAAGGUAGCGAAAUUCCUUGUCGGGUAAGUUCCGACCUGCACGAAUGGCGUAAUGAUGGCCAGGCUGUCUCCACCCGAGACUCAGUGAAAUUGAACUCGCUGUGAAGAUGCAGUGUACCCGCGGCAAGACGGAAAGACCCCGUGAACCUUUACUAUAGCUUGACACUGAACAUUGAGCCUUGAUGUGUAGGAUAGGUGGGAGGCUUUGAAGUGUGGACGCCAGUCUGCAUGGAGCCGACCUUGAAAUACCACCCUUUAAUGUUUGAUGUUCUAACGUUGACCCGUGAUCCGGGUUGCGGACAGUGUCUGGUGGGUAGUUUGACUGGGGCGGUCUCCUCCUAAAGAGUAACGGAGGAGCACGAAGGUUGGCUAAUCCUGGUCGGACAUCAGGAGGUUAGUGCAAUGGCAUAAGCCAGCUUGACUGCGAGCGUGACGGCGCGAGCAGGUGCGAAAGCAGGUCAUAGUGAUCCGGUGGUUCUGAAUGGAAGGGCCAUCGCUCAACGGAUAAAAGGUACUCCGGGGAUAACAGGCUGAUACCGCCCAAGAGUUCAUAUCGACGGCGGUGUUUGGCACCUCGAUGUCGGCUCAUCACAUCCUGGGGCUGAAGUAGGUCCCAAGGGUAUGGCUGUUCGCCAUUUAAAGUGGUACGCGAGCUGGGUUUAGAACGUCGUGAGACAGUUCGGUCCCUAUCUGCCGUGGGCGCUGGAGAAUUGAGGGGGGCUGCUCCUAGUACGAGAGGACCGGAGUGGACGCAUCACUGGUGUUCGGGUUGUCAUGCCAAUGGCACUGCCCGGUAGCUAAAUGCGGAAGAGAUAAGUGCUGAAAGCAUCUAAGCACGAAACUUGCCCCGAGAUGAGUUCUCCCUGACUCCUUGAGAGUCCUGAAGGAACGUUGAAGACGACGACGUUGAUAGGCCGGGUGUGUAAGCGCAGCGAUGCGUUGAGCUAACCGGUACUAAUGAACCGUGAGGCUUAACCUUACAACGCCGAAGGUGUUU